rnacentral:rRNA from 1 species
GGGAGGCAGCAGUGGGGAAUUUUGGACAAUGGGGGAAACCCUGAUCCAGCCAUCCCGCGUGUAUGAUGAAGGCCUUCGGGUUGUAAAGUACUUUUGGCAGAGAAGAAAAGGUAUCCCCUAAUACGGGAUACUGCUGACGGUAUCUGCAGAAUAAGCACCGGCUAACUACGUGCCAGCAGCCGCGGUAAUACGUAGGGUGCAAGCGUUAAUCGGAAUUACUGGGCGUAAAGCGUGUGUAGGCGGUUCGGAAAGAAAGAUGUGAAAUCCCAGGGCUCAACCUUGGAACUGCAUUUUUAACUGCCGAGCUAGAGUAUGUCAGAGGGGGGUAGAAUUCCACGUGUAGCAGUGAAAUGCGUAGAUAUGUGGAGGAAUACCGAUGGCGAAGGCAGCCCCCUGGGAUAAUACUGACGCUCAGACACGAAAGCGUGGGGAGCAAACAGGAUUAGAUACCCUGGUAGUCCACGCCCUAAACGAUGUCAACUAGCUGUUGGGGCCGUUAGGCCUUAGUAGCGCAGCUAACGCGUGAAGUUGACCGCCUGGGGAGUACGGUCGCAAGAUUAAAACUCAAAGGAAUUGACGG